CGCGCGGCUCCACGUGCGCAGAGCCGGGCGCGCGGAGACUGCGCUGCUCCAGCCCGGGAAAAGUUCUAGAAUAGAGGCGCGGCGCAAGUCAGGGGGCCGCCUUGGAAACCGCAGCAAGGGCUCCUUGUGGGCUCCAGGCUGUUGGAGAGUGAGGGAGCCUCCUCCCCUUUCCUUCCCGUGGAGUAAACAGAGCUUGGCAGGGCUGGAGGCUUUCUUCCUUUUAAAAAGUGCCAUUCUGAACAACGAUACAAAGUGAAAAAAUAAAUUUUUUAAAAAAGAAAGGGAAAAACUACAAUUUGACCAUUCUGACCAGCCUCCUUGUUCCAACUGGCCUCUUGAUUUGUAUAAAGAUAAUGGGGUCCGGCGGCCCCCUUGAUGCAUGAAUUGCACGCUGGGCAUAAUGAACUUAUUGUGCGAAAGCACUUUGGACUUCGGACUGUGUUCCUAUGUCAGAAUUUUACUGUGGUUUGUAAGAUAAACUGGAAGGAAACAAACUCGUGGUUAACUCUUGUCAAUACGUGUCUUGAACCAAGCAAAGUGACAUUUCCUACCUGUGGCUUUGACUUUAAGCUGCACAAAAGCUCACACAUACAGUCGGCUCAGGCAGACGGCCCAAGACAAGCCUGUGCCAAAGAAAUGCUGAUUUAGUCUGACCCAGACAAUCUCUACUCCCACAUGUCACUUCUCUGCAGAACUCUUACUAGUAUGGCAAAUACUUUAAAAAUCAUACAAUAAAAGAAGGCAAAACCUCAGUAAUUUGAGGUUCACUUUUAAUAAACUCUUUCCAUGCAUUAAAAUAAAUUGAGGCCCUGAGCUCUGGCGAAAUGUUUCCGGGUUUUUAAUUCCCACCGCCCCCCCACCCCGGAGGCAUAAAUAGCCACAUACGCAAUUCAAAGUACUCUAUUUGAACUAGUAUAGGAAAGAUGUUUUCUAUAGAUAUUGCAGAUAAAUUUGCAAUGACUUAAAUAUUUAUCUGCUAAAGUUGCUGAGUGCCUCCACAACAAAACCGAACUCAUUUUUUGUGCACGAUGGGCAUCUGAAUGCUACCUGAUGGUGAUGAUAUAGAAAUACUAAUUGCUAAGUAAAAGUGGUAAGUGAUGUGAUCUACAGAUUAUGUAAUGUAGUUCAUUUCCCCCAAAAUGUAAACUAUAUUUAGAAAUAUUCAAAUGUGACAUUAUUACCCUAUACAGGAUGUCUUAUCUCAGCAUCAAGGGCGUCUGUAGAGCUGCUGGAGGAGGCUCUUUAGAUUACGCAAUCUAACUUCUGACAGCCCAUUCAAAGGAUGAGAACCGGUGCCUUGAAGCUCUCAAUUUAAACUAGGAAUCCUGUAGUCUAGUCUCUAGACUUAUCUGACCUAGGCAGAAAUCAUCUCCUAGAGGCUUUUCAUGGCUGAUUUUGUGAUGUUUUACUUGCACUGAAGAUUUAUUAUUCCAUGUUUUGAGUUAGUGUUAUACAGUGCCAUUCUAUAUAUUUUCCAAAUAAAUGUUUGUCUUACAGAAGAAACUGUUUAUACCAUUCUAAUAGGGUUGUUUAAUAAGGAAAUUUUACUCAGUUGGGUUUUGGAUUAAAAAUAAAAGAACAGCUUUUAAGAUACAAUGUCUAAAUGAUUCUCAAUAAUGAUCUGUCUAUGGUAUAGUUACUUUUUGUCCUAAAAUACCUUUUCUGUGGGUUGUAUGGAUUGUUUUAUGUUGUGCCAGGCAGAUGUGCAUAAUUUUCUGAUUAAAACCAGUGCAAAUACAGACUUCAUAUUCUAUAAUCUUUUAAAGAGACAAGUUACACUUCAAAUCAAACAAUCAGAGAGCUGUUUCAAAUCAAGCAUUUUAAGUUAAGUUGUAUUGACAUGGGGAGGGAGCAGAUGACACACCUAAUGAGUUAAAACAAUGUUCACUGUUAAAUUAGGUAUAAAUUAAUGUAAUAACUAGGGGUAGUGUGGGUAUCCCUGACAAAUUAUGGAUUUAUCUGAGGAUUAAUGGAGGAAUCCACAGAUAAUCCAUAAAUCUACCCAUUUUCUAUCUUCUAACCGCUUAGCGAGUAAUUUAUAAAUUGUCUAUUUGUGUGCUUUUUAAGUUACAGUGAGGGGUUCAGACAUAUUAAGGAAAAUGCAGGCUGUCAAGAGAAACAGCAACAAGGGAUCUAUAGAGUUUGUAAUCUGGAAAGUCACACCCGUAAUUUUUAUUUGAUUGUAGUACCAUUGCUGUCAGAGGCCUAACCAGUGGCACUGAAGGAGUUAAAACAGUCCCCACCCCCACUCCCGAUUUCUAGAACCCCACGAUAAAUUGGGUAAAUAUGUAUUCCAUUCAUUGGUGCAUCUGACCUUGGUCUGUGACAGAGGAAAGGCGUGUCUUCUCAUACUGUUCCCUAUGAACAAAAGGCAAGCAAAUGAGGGUGACUCAGGACUUCUCAUGGCCUACACACAACUGAACAUUUUUCUGAAUGAUUCCACGUAUACACUUAGGAAUCAGGAAGAGAAACAUUUUACUCUUCACUAACCAAAUAAAACCAUCUAUAAAUCAUAUGCAAAACAACUUUUGAGUAAAGAGGGACUUAAAAGUCUAGGAAUUAAAAAAGGAUUUCCAUAGUUUCCUUUUAACUCUCCCCCAACUCCCCUUUGGGGAAUAAACAAAGACAUCUGCCACAUCAAGAGUCUGGUUUGUUUUCUUAACUGAAAACGAAAUGCAGUCAUUAAAGUAUAUCUUUGGGAAGAGGUUUUGAAAUGUUGAGAAUUACUUCUACAAGCUGCACUAUUUUCAAUUUCACUAAAAAUAAAAUUUAGCAUUUUUGUUACAAAAACAUAGUUCAUCCUAUUUCUUUUAACCUAGUUAUUACAUGAAAAAUUGUUUAUCAUCUGUAACUUGCUAAGAAUAUGGUUUCUUGAAAACCUUAAAUGGACUAAUAAUGAAAAACUAUUAAAAUAUAUAUAGUGAUGGGCCCCUCCUAGUUACCAGACCACCCUAGUGUAAAUAUAUUCAAGUACACAUUCACUGUUGCUGUUUAAUUUAAAACAUAUAGUAACUCUAUGUAUAUCCUAGCCUCCAACUCUUUAUGAGUUUCACAACUUCCUUUCAUAGAGAAGUCUGCCAAGCCAUUAAUCAAUAAAAAGAGUAAAAGCUGCAACAUCUAGGAAAUUUCUUAUUAUAUGAGAGUAGCCAGUAAAAUGUGUCUCAGUGCUUUCUACCUUUUAUCUCUAUUUAUAAAUUUAAGUUUCAGGAUAUCAAUAAAGCUCAUACAUGGCUUUGGCUUUUUUCAUUCCUAAGCUUUCCAAAGUAUAAGGCUUUUUUUUUUUUUAAAUCCCUUUUGUCUUUAGCGCAUUUCCUAUGGCCCAACGUAGCUGUUUUAUUCCAAAGCUUUUCAAAGAGCAGCUCCAGGUCUUGAGAGUCUUUCCAGUGUCGUCACUAUCUUCUCUUUCCAAUCUACCAUUGCAGAAUGGCUGGUUCUGCUGCUAGUUGAAAAAUAAACAAAUGCUUUCUAGCCGUACUUUGUUCAGCUCUUUUAUCUGUGUCCCCUAUCCAGUUGCCCUUUCCGCAGUCCCUGGCACUUCUAUUUUAUACCAUCAGUUGCCUUUUUGUUCCAUGUCUUUUAUCUCCUGAAGUUCAGGCAAACCCCAACCCCAAACCCACACAUCCUUUAGUCACAUUGCCAUUAGUGAUUAAAACAAUAGCCAUUCUAAGCUUGCUUUAGAAAAUUAAAAAAGGCCUCAGAAAAUGUUCAGUGCUCCCAAUUUUAUUUUUAUUUAAUGCUAAAAGUUAAAGAAAA
rnacentral:lncRNA from 1 species